UGAUAGAGGCGCGAAAUUUAUCAGUAGUCCGGCGGAGCCGCUCAGAGGGCUUUGAAACCGGAGAAAAGGGAAUUUCGCCGAAAUCCGAAACGAACUGAGGCCUUUCGGGUUGGUUGCCGGGAGAACAUCUCGUCGACUGUCACAAUUCCGAUUGUGGAGCGCUAUCU
rnacentral:ncRNA from 1 species